UAGAGAGCUCUCGACCUCUCUGAUGAUGAUUAGGAGUACUUGUUCAAGCCGCCUGCCCGGGAAAGGAACGAUGCAGUCGGAUUAAUUUAGGAAUCUUUUCUUUCGCCCCGGUCGUACAGGUUUGCAAUCCAACGGUGCAGGUAUCGCGAUUAAUCAGAGGGGAUGGGAAACCGACUCGGAUGGGAAACCCUGCAGCCCUCGGUCCUUUUAAUCAUCUCCCCUGUCCACUCACGCUACCAGAACCAGAUCCCACGCGCCGAGGUGCCGCCGCUGAUGAUGCAUGCCGCCCAAUCGCAUGGAUAACUCCUCGCCGCCGUUCGACGGACACUACCACGAGGCUUUGCAGCAGCCGACCUUUGAGCCCACGGUGAUUAGUAUGAUGCAUCUUUCUCCAGCUCAGGCCGCCAGAAUGGCCCUCAGCCCCAUCCACAUCAAUGACUACCCCUACCUGCUGCAUCUUUCUCCAGCUCAGGCCGCCACAAGGGCCCUCAGCCGCCUCAGCAUCAAUGAAGAUCAACCUCGUCAUGUAGUAGACUUCGCGUAUAAUACUUUUCUUCCAAGUCAGACCCAGCAGCUACCCCUGCAAGACGGAGUAACCAAGGUGGUAUGCCUCACCCACAUGCUCCAGGGGUCGCACCACCUCCUCGAGCACGAUGAGUUUUAUGACCGCUUUGUGGACAAAGUCGAGGAUCAAGCAUGGGAGUUCGGUCACCUGGUCAAGCUCGUAAUCCCUCGGCCAAAUGUCGAUCCGGCUGGAGUCGGGAAGGUGUUCCUGCAGUAUGCGUGCCUCGGUGGCGCCAAUGUGUGCAAGAUCAUGAUGGAUAGAAGGUGCUGGAAUGGUGACAAGCAAAUCGUUGCCAGGUUCUAUCCGGAGGACAAGUUUGCUGCUGGAGACUACGCCUCUGGACAAUAAAUAGAUCAGUACCCAAAUCAAGUGAGGCGAUCCCUUGUCUUGUUCUGUCAACUACCUGAGUACUCCAUCUUUGCCGAAAUGUAGAGGUUUAUGCAUUAUGUGCUGAAAAAUAAUUGGUGGAGUAAAUGCUCCAACACAAGUAGGUGACCUAGGGAUGAAUCAACUGACUCAGCCAAUCGAUUUAAUUGAUAUUUCAUAUCAACAGGUUAAUUCCUUAUGUUCCACUUCAAAUUCUCAUGGGUUUCGUGUCACUUAUAUGCACUUACUGAUUGCUCUAUUACACUUUUAUCACACCAUGUGUCAUUAUUGUUGUUUCGUAAGAUGAGAUAUAUUUAUGUAGGAUUGAAUAGCUACCAUAUCUUCUAGCUUUGGAUAAAAUUCCCUACAAGUAUUCGAAAACUGCAAACGGCGUAUGUAUAUUAUUUUGUAGUAUUAAUGACAUCUGCAUAUCUUAGUUUCAUCGCAGUGUAUUAUAUAUUUCCUUGCCCAUACUGCAGAUUGACUGUGACAUGCUACGAGUCGAUUCAUCCAACCUAUUCCUGAUCUGUCACCUACAAUACCAUCUGUGGAUGAAAUACCUUUAGUUGAUCCAGAAGUAUCUCCAUAUGAAAUAAAUAUUACGGAGUAUAUCCUUUUACAAGACUUGGGAUACCUUGGCCUUUGGGGCUAUCUCAAACUUUUCUCCCUUUCCUGAUGUUUAUUCUCUGUGCUAUGAAAAUGAAUUAUUGACCAUGUUCCACUACAUCAUUUGUAAAACCUUAACACCUGCCGAAAUUAUUUUGGCAUCAUAUUGCACAUGUUAACUUGUCAGCAAGCCCAAAAGUUUUUGCAGACACAUAAGUUUGAUGGUGUUGACAACCCUCAACCAAGAGACAUUUUGUGCAAGCUGCUAGAAUAGGAAUGACCCGGCAAAGAGAAUUUCGUAAAUUUGUAUAUCUGAAUAUUCUGCUUUAAUGUUUGAAUAUUAUGCAAAAGAAUCAGUGGAUCUUCUAGAUACAAAUUUUUUUUUUUUGGAUCUUCUUCUUGCUGAAAGGUUAAUUAAGUUUACGUUAGACUAGAGUUACACAUAUUCAUAUAUGUGUGAGAUUAAUGACGUGAAAUACUUGUGGUACUAGAUCAUUUGCUUUCAGUCUGUCAUGGUUUGCUGAAGAAUGGUUUUGUUUUUUUUGUAUUGUUUACUGCUUCAUACAAAAUUUGCAAUCCACAUCAGUGUUUAUUAAUACUGACCCAAAGCUUGCAGGAUUUGGAUAGAGAAGGUUAUUAUGAAGCAAGUUUGGCAUAAAAAAAAACCUGGAUAGAACAAAGAAAUACAUAAAGAUGUUGCAAAUUGCACCAUGUUUUUUAUUGUCUUGUCUAAUAUUAGUAAGUGGUUCAUUUUUCAGAUUUGAUAUCAGUAGCCUAAGAAAGAAUGUAUUGUUGUUUUGUGCAGCACGCUUUGUUUGACAUCACAUUAAUUGUUAGUAUUUCCAUAUUCCUUGGUAAUUUACCAUUUUGCAAAUAGUAUGUUUCUAUCAGUAUUUAAUUGUGCAGGUCUAUUAGUAUCAACUGUGCAAGAUUGAAUAAGAUAUUGAUCCCCUGCGUUUAUAGUAUCUGGUUCAAAAAUAUCUUUAUGUUGGCUCAAGUUCAACUGGCCCAUGACUUGGCAAGUCCAGCAUCAUGGACUGACAACCUUGUUCAGGAUACAUUUCAGACCUACCAAAAUGGAAUUUUGGCCAUGAUUGGGAGUUUGGGACGAGAUUGUCUUUGAGUCAUUGUGAAAGGCUUGCGUGUUUAUUUUGGACACAUGCCAUGUCGCUGCACACUCCUUCAUGACAUCCGUACUUUCUUUUCGUUUGUACCAUGGACCUAAUAGUGAUAUGUAAUAUAUGACCAGGACACCACUUAAGUGUUCUACGAGUUUGCAAAACCUGCUAUCUAAUUAGACUGGCAAGAAUAAUGCCAAGCCAUGGUUUUUUCUCGAGCAAAUCGUGUGUUUUCUUCUUGAAUUCUCAUCGUAUUUGAAUUCACAGAUUGACAUUGCUGGUGGACUUUGAGAAGGCUUAUGAUAGGGUCAACUGAGACUUCCUACAUGAGAUCCUUCUUCGCAAAGGGUUUUCCGCAUUAAUGGUACAUAGAUUGAUGCAGUUGGUCAAGGGAGGCCAAGACGGCAAUCAAUGUUAACAGAGAGAUAGGGCAUUUCUUCCGUAACGCGAGGGGGGUGCGACAAGGGGAUCCACUCUCCCCAACCCCUCCUGGUGGAUGGUUUGGCAGCUAUUCUGGCCAGGCCAAUGCAACAUGUCAUAUUCAGGGCCUCGUACCGCACCUCAUACCAGGCGGAGUGACACACUUUCAAUAUGCGGACGACACGAUGAUUUUGCUGGAGCCUACCAGGGUAGGUAUCACCAAUCUUAAGACCCUACUACUGUGUUUUGAGAACAUGUCGGGUCUGAAGAUUAACUUCGACAAGAGUGAGGUCGUGGUGAUGGGACUUCCACCAGAUUCACAACGACAAGUCGCGAACUUGCUCAACUGUCGACUUAGCAGAUUCCCCAUCACUUAUUUGGGCCUACCAAUUAGUGGCAUACCGCUUAGGGUAGCGGACUGGGGUUUCCUGCCGGAGCUAGUAGGACACCGGGUGGACACUUGGCAGGGACUCCUGGGGGCGGCGGGACGCCUUGAGCUUACUAACUCAUGCCUCUCUACUCUUCCUCUGUUCGCCAUGAGCCUUUACUUGUUGCACGAGGGCACGCACAAGGCCAUGGACCGCCCACGCGCCCGGUUCUUUUGGGAGGGCACCGGGAAAAGAGGAAGUAUCAUAUGGUGGAUUGGGCCACUGUUUGUAAACCGAAGGAGCUGGGGGGCUUGGGGGUCAUGAACUUCAGAUUCAUGAACACUUCCUUAAUGGUGAAAUGGAUCUGGAAACUCUACCAAGGGACGGAAGGUUUAUGGGCAGACCUCAUUAGGGCUAAAUACCUUCGCGGCGGAGGUACCUACUCAUGGUUCUCAAUUCUGGAAUGCCAUACAAAAGGUGAAGUGACACUUCAAGUUGGGAGCCAAACACAGUGUUCGCGAUGGGAAGCGAACAUACUUCUGGUUGGACUGGUGGUCAGGGACAGGACCACUCCGGAAUAGAUUCUCCAGACUGUUUAGCUAUUGUUAUACACCCUCAUAAUGGUUUUUGGAGCUCGGGUGCUUGAGGGCGAACCAGGGGAGUGGCGUCUUAGGUUUCGUCGAUUGUUUGGUUUGGCGGAAGCGGUGGAAUGGGAUAACCUCUGCAGGGAGGUUUGGGGCCUCCCUUGGGAGUUGGAGGAGGACGUCGUGUCUUGGGCGCUUGAACCCUCGGGUGUCUUCUCCACGAACUCCAUCUAUGCACGGCUAUCACAGGGGAUGGUGAUUACUUCUUUCAAAGAGGUUUGGCUUACCAAAGUACCAGCUAAGAUCAAGGUGUUCCUCUGGCAGCUGAUUCGAGAUAGGUUGCCCUCGGGGGUGCAACUCCUCAAGAGAUAGGGUCCGUCCAAUGGCCACUACUCUCUAUGCGUUGAGUGGGAAGACUGCAACCACAUCUUCUUCGCCUGUCCCUUGGCGAGGAUGAUGUGGGCGGGGGUAAGGGAACUCCUCGCGUGCGAUUGGAACCCGACUGGGAUAGGGGAGUUCAUCGCACUCGCUCAGGGUUUGGCAAACCCUCUUCAUAGGCUAGUGUGGUAUACCUUUGCGGCCCAAUGUUGGACUCUUUGGAACACGCGUAACAAGCUAGCUAUCGAAGGAAAACUGAUUGGUAACCCCGUUGACGUCUUCUAUCAAAUGUCGAUUCAUAUGCAGUGCUGGCGGAUUCUGGUCAGACGGAAGGACAAGGAGCUUCUGGACUUGGCGGUGGGCGACGUAAGGCGACUGUACGCGCGGACGCGGCCUACGACUGCUCCUCGACAACGUCAUCAUCUUCACCAUCUUUUAGCGAGCUCUGUUGUCACUAGUGUGGGCUUGGCCCGGGGUGUGGUGGUUGCAUGAACUUUGUUGUAUGCGCUUGUGCGUGACUAUGUUGUGAGUGGUGGGUGUGUUGUAUCCGAAGCUAUUCGCUAUGCUGCCGUGUGGGGCUUUAUAUAUAAAGCUGGGCCGAAAAGGCCUUCUAUUUAAAA